rnacentral:rRNA from 1 species
UACGUAGGUGGCAAGCGUUGUCCGGAAUUAUUGGGCGUAAAGAGCUCGUAGGCGGUUUGUCGCGUCUGCUGUGAAAUCUGGAGGCUCAACCUCCAGCCUGCAGUGGGUACGGGCAGACUAGAGUGCGGUAGGGGAGAUUGGAACUCCUGGUGUAGCGGUGGAAUGCGCAGAUAUCAGGAAGAACACCGAUGGCGAAGGCAGAUCUCUGGGCCGUAACUGACGCUGGAGGAGCGAAAGCAUGGGGAGCGAACAGG